CCUUGCUCUGCAACCUCCUCAGCUGUUGUAGUCUGAUAUUUUUACAUGCAUUUAGCAAACUUUUUCAACAAAGGAGAGGGUAAACAGUGAGACAUUAUUUAAAAUUUGCCAUGUUUCAAAUCUGCGAGCCACAUAGCGUUAUAAAUAAAUUCAACAGACAGUCAUUGUGAAUAAAGAAAGGAUGCUGACUUAAAAAGCGCGUUCUGUUUUCUUAUCUUUUUCAGUCAUCGAGAUUUCCUACCUGCCACCGGAUGCAGUACCAGAAGCAACAGGGACAGAAGUCGAUGGUGAAAUAUUCAGCCACCUCCUUGGACAAAGCAAUGUGGUGCUGACUGUUUUCUCAUCUGAUGGGGAGUUUAUUUGAAUUUAAAAGGACACAAGUAUUAUCGAGCACUCCAAAUAAAAAUACGGUAAAAAAGCAAUUUCAUGCUUGUGUUCCUUGGGCGGUUGCUGUGCUGACCGUCAAAAUAUUUGUACCGUUUCAAUAUUUUGUAUUUCUUUCGAGAUUUCUGACUCCUUGUUUUCCAUUUCUGAGGCGUCUGACUGGAGCUGCAUCUCAGGUGUGUCAUAUGUAAUCUUAGAUGACGUCCCAAACAGGAAGAACUGAGGAGGGACCUGAUGCUGUGUCUGCUAAGUAGAUACGCUGCCCGGUGUCGUUGAUGAUCUGCUGUGCCCCCAGCAGCCCAAUGACAGCAUCAGGGACUCUGCUUUUAAAGGGAGAUGGUGAGCUGGAGUCCCUCUCCAACCAGAACUUGCAGCAGGUGGAGGACUGGAUCGCCAAGGCUGCAGAGCAGAACAUGGAUGCCUGAAGAUAUAUGUACGAUACAUGUACGGUUAGAUGGCCAACUACUGUUGUCACCUGUCAGCUUAUUUGUGAACAAAACAGCAUGACUGACAAAGAACAGCAGCAAUCCUAAAAGAAGCAUGCAUGUGGCAGAGGUAUGGAACCCUUUCUUCUUGUCAGAACUUUUAGAAAUUCAAGCAAAAACAGGAUGCAGAGAUUCAUGAUCUUGGCUUUAGCAUUGAUUUGAAGUGACAGCAACCAUAUGCACAACUAAUCACGUGACUGCAUGAGUUAAACGACAUCUGUGGGGAGAAAUCAGAUUCUAUUCCAAAAGAUGCUCAUAUGAUUUUUCAGCCAUCUCCCACCCUUACAUUUAGCACCGUCAGACACCUGUUCGUCAUCCAGACAGACCUCAACACCAUCGUCCCACGAUUCCAGUGUUCGCGCUGCAAAAUUCAAGCACCAACACCUGCUCUCCAGGAGCAUCAAAAACCAGAGAUCAUCAUGGAUUACAAUGCCUCAAAAGGAGGUGUGGACAACAUGGAUAAGCUGGUGACUGCCUACAGCUGCAAAAGGAGAACCCUAUGCUGGCCACUGGUUAUAUUCUUUUACAUGUUGGACAUAUCAGCAUACAAUGCCUUUGUCAUCCGGAUGGCACUGAACCCAGAGUGGAGCAGAAGGAAGCUCCAGAGGAGGCGACUCUUUCUUGAGGAACUGGGAAAGGCACUGGUGAGGCCUCAAAUACAAAGACGACAACAUAUUCCAAGAACCCCAGCCUCUGCAGCAAUCAUGAGGAGGAUUCAGGACGAGAAUGCUGGUGCUCCAUCCACCCAACCUACAGAACCACCACCUGCAGAGUCUGAAGGGUGUGAUGCUAUUGCAGUUUGGUCUGACAUUCAUUUCUUGUGAGAGAGAAAGAGUUAGUAAAAUUCCUGAUAUUUUCAAAGGUUGCAGCCAGCAACAGCAAAAAGAAGCGCUGCGAAGUGUGUGGACCCAAGAUGGACAGAAAAACACAAUAUACAUGCAUCAAGUGCCAGAAAUACAUAUGCAACACACACACAGUAAAACUCUGCCCCUCAUGUGUUGCAUAGGUGUGAGAAAACAAUGUAUUCAGUGAGGCUGAUGUGUUGUCCAGACAGACACGUUUACUGCAUGUGUUCAGCCUCUGAUGUUUAAACUGAUCAGAAUGGGCUAAAUUUGUAAUGAAAUUCAAAUAAAUAAAAGUCAGUAGUUAUGAAAAACCUUGCUUCAUCUGUAAAU